GCUCUGCGACCGCGUGUCUUUCCACCAUGGUUUUAGGUCUUGCUAGCUUUCCUGAGUCGCUCUCUAGCCAGUCAGAGACCGCUACACAGCCCAGAAGGCCUUCAGUCAAAUGGGACUUGGGCUCGGAUUACAGGAAAGGUACCGAAGAGACUACCGCUUCUGGUUCGAACUUCCGGCGCGAGAGACUGGACAGCCAGCCGGAUCUUGGCCUCCACGUCCAACCACAGAUCUACUUCCUGCGGCCGCGGUCCCCACUCCCCAAGUUGUUAUUCAGGUGUGGCUCGGGUAUACAAAGCAGUUGUCAGACCCGGGACCCCGUAAGGGAAUCCGACUCACUUUGUUCCAGCCGUGUCCCCCCCCCAACCUCCGCCCUUAGAUGUUCCUCUGAUCGCAGCAAUGUCUCCGAUCGCAGGAUUUUUCAGACUCAGGCCAACCCGUAGGACCUUCAGAAGCCCGUUUUCUGGGCCGAAGGCACUGUCCCGUUUCUAGCCUUCCGAAUGAAUCCUGACCCUGGCGUAGUGUAGGCUUGACGUCUGCAAUUGGUCUCAGGCUCCAAUCGACUUGGCAACUCCAGGCCUUCCCAUUCUCCAGCGUCCUUGAAAAGCCUUCAGUUCCCCAAUGUUUGACUCCAAUCCUGUCCCCCUUCUUCAACCGGCAUCAGCCAAGGAUGUAACAAGUCCUACAGAGGAUUUAUUAUGGAAACACAAUUUGUUUCAAAAAUGACCAGUAUUUAUUACUUGAUAAAUUUGGUGCAUCACUAAGUAAAGAGGGUCUUUAAAUAUUUAGUCUCUUUUUGGUUGAAAAUAGGACUUAGACUUGUGUGUAAAUUCCUGACCGUUGACUCUGUCUUCCCAUCCGCACCUGGGUAUGUUGAGUCAUCCUGCAUAAAAACCAGAAAAGUGGAACUGGGUAGCUUUCAAUGUUCGUUCCUUUGUAUUAGCAAGCACAGCCUGACCACAGUUGUUCCUAACUCAUAGGAAAAUGAACUGGAGAACGUUAUUAGAAUCCCCCUAAAGGUGCUUUGUUUUCUUCUUAACUGAACGUGGUUGCACACGAUUGUAAUCAAGCACUCAGGUGCUGGAGGCAGGAGGAUUGGAAAUUCAAGGUCACUCUCAGUUCAAGAGGGAGUUCUAGGCCAGCCUGGAUACACGAGACCUUGUCACAAAAUAUACAUCUUUUUGUUUGUUGGGUUUGGUGGUGGUGGUGUUUUCUGUUUUUUUGUUUUUGUUUUGUUUUUGUUUUGUCUGACUAUGAAUGUAUUUUAUGAUGAUCUUAUUCUGAUGUGCUAACCAAUAGAGACUGAGUUUAGUAUAAGUUGUUAUUUGUAUUCCUUCUGUUCCUGUGUGUAUCAGACAGCCAUUUCUGUUUCAGUCAAUUCAUGUGUGGUUCUUCCCUUUUUGCUAUUGUUUGUUUGGGAAUCUGUAUUCAGAAAUACUUCACCAGCACGUAUGUCAUUUCCCUGGUUUCCUUUAGAGUGGUUUGCCAAUCAUUUCAAAAGUAAAAUAAACUAAGCAACAUCAACAAC
rnacentral:lncRNA from 1 species